rnacentral:tRNA from 1 species
GCGGGCGUCGUUCAACGGAUCAGGAUACCCGGCUACGAACCGGGAGACUUGGAGGUUCAAAUCCUCCCGCCCGCGCCA